rnacentral:lncRNA from 1 species
AUGUCGGUGCAGCCAUUUUGUCAGCCUGGACUUGGGGCUUCGGGUUGCCGGUUUUGCUGCCAGCCAGGGGGUCCAGCAAACAGACCACUAUUGGCGCUCGAGAACCACCCCUUUUCUGCAUUGAAUGAGAAGCCACCUAAAGUAGUGACUCACGGGCCUUCCGACAGCCUUGACCACACUCAUUUUCCAGUUGUUUCUGAGGUCAGAGAUGCCAGCCCUUCCCAGGUCCCAGUCGAAUGUUUCAGUUAUUUGGACCUCUUCUCUCAAGCAAGGACGAUCUUCCAGAAGCACAGAUUCGUACCCAAGUGUUCCUACGGCUCCAUCUGGGCUUGCCCAUCUGUCUGACCUCGCUGACCUUACUGGGUUUGCUAUCCACUAACCCCCAGAUCUUUGAGUUCCAGCCACAGUGGCCUUUGGUUCCUUCCUCAAGCACUUCGGGGUCGGGGAGGGGGGCCGUGGAAUCAGCCUCAUACACACCUGACACCACCCAUCAAUCAUUUUUAUUGCUUUAAAAGUUUACAUGCAAUAAACUCUGCUUUUGUCGUACA